rnacentral:rRNA from 1 species
AUGCAAGUCGAGCGGUCCGCAAGGAUAGCGGCGAACGGGUGAGUAACGCGUAAGCAAUCUGCCCCGCAUAUUGGGAUAGCCGUGCCAACGCGCGGAUAAUACCGAAUAACCGUGGCCCCGGACAUCCGGGGUUGACGAAAGAUUCAUCGAUGCGGGAUGAGCUUGCGUCCGAUUAGCUAGUUGGCGGGGCAACGGCCACCAAGGCGACGAUCGGUAGCCGGCCUGAGAGGGUGAUCGGCCACAUUGGGGACUGAGAUACGGCCCAGACUCCUACGGGAGGCAGCAGUAGGGAAUAUUGCACAAUGGGGGAAACCCUGAUGGCAGCAACGCCACGUGUGGGAAGAAGCAUUUCGGUGUGUAAACCACUGUCGUGAGGGAAUAAUACGCGUCUUCGGGCGCGGGAGAAUGUACCUCGAAAGGAAGCACCGGCAAACUUCGUGCCAGCAGCAGC